rnacentral:rRNA from 1 species
AUACGUACUGUGCGAACGUUAUUCGGAAUCACUGGGCUUAAAGGGUGCGUAGGCGGUCGCUUAAGUAGGGUGUGAAAUCCCCCGGCUCAACCGGGGAACUGCGCUCUAAACUGGGCGACUCGAGUAAGAUAGGGGUGUGCGGAACUUCCGGUGGAGCGGUGAAAUGUGUUGAUAUCGGGAAGAACAUCAGUGGCGAAGGCGGCUUACUGGAUCAACCCUGACACUGAGGCGCGAAAGCGUGGGUAGCAAACAGGAUUAGAAACCCCGGUAGUCC